UACAGAGGGUGCAAGCGUUGUUCGGAAUUAUUGGGCGUAAAGCGCGUGUAGGCGGCUUUGCAAGUCGGGUGUGGAAUCCCUCAGCUUAACUGAGGAAGUGCGCCCGAAACUGCUUUGCUUGAGUGCCGGAGAGGAUGGCGGAAUUCCCCAAGUAGAGGUGAAAUUCGUAGAUAUGGGGAGGAACACCGGUGGCGAAGGCGGCCAUCUGGACGGUAACUGACGCUGAGACGCGAAAGCGUGGGGAGCAAACAGG
rnacentral:rRNA from 1 species